rnacentral:lncRNA from 1 species
GCAUAAUCAUGUUUUACUAGUGAAAUGCCCGCGCGAUGCUGCGGAUCUAAAAAUAUUUUUACAAUAAAUUUUAUUUUUUUAAUAUUUUUAUAUAGUUUUAUAAGUCUAAUUAUUAAUUAAAUAAAAGUUAUAUAAAAAUGAUGGAAUAGUUAAAUCUAUUUAAAUGAAAGUCAUUAAAAUUGGUAUAUGUGCAAGUAAUUUAUACAUCACUUUAUUUUAUAAAGAUUUAUAUGAGAAGGAUUUGAGAUAAAUCUAUCAAAAUAAUUUUUAAAAAAUCAAUAGAUAGAAGGGAAGUAAAUUUGUAGAAGAAAUUGCUUAAUAAAAUUAAUUAUAUAUAUAUAUACACACAUAUACACUAUAUAUUUUUAAAAUUUUUCACUUGAAAUUUAAAAUUAUGUAAUUUUUUAUACAACAAUAUUUUACGUGAUUUAAAUUAAAUCUAUCAUGUUAGAUUUUAUUGUGCAAUUUAUUACGCGUAUUAUUAAUAAAAUUAAAUUAAUUAAAUCAUAGAGUUUAGAGAUUUAAAAUUUUAAAUUUUGAAGUUACAAAAUUGGAAAUAAAUAUUAUAAGUUAAAAUUGAAAUUUAGAAUUUAAAAUAUAAAAUAUAAAAUUUAAGCAUUUAAAAUUUAAAAUUAUAAUAUAUAUAUAUAGAUGAGAGAGAGAGAGAGAGAGAGAGAGAGGGAGGGAGACUAAAGGGGGGUUUGCGGGGUGACACGUGUCACCCUAUGGACCCCCAAACCCUCCUUUAAUGUAGAAGAAAGAAUAGAUUUUUUUGGCUGCAUCGCAUUGGCAUAUCAAAUUUUCCUAAAUCGGCAUUUAUUAUUUGUCCUUAUUAAUAUCAAAGGCUAAAUUACAUAAAAUUUUACUGUCAAAAUCUAAAUUUUCAUUUUUUUUCAUUGUUAUUUAAAAACCUAUACUUUGCCUCCUUGUAAAAUGCAAAAUGUUUACUUUGCCCCCUGCCGUUAGUAAUCCGUUAGGGUUCCGUUUAUAAAAUAUUAUUAUAUAUUUGUUAUGCCAAAAAUACCCUCAGCCUUCUCUCCUGUGAACAUGAUGAGGGGCAAAAAUGGUAAGGGGUAAAAUGAUCAUUUUAACAUCACGGCGUACCUCCUGUGAAUGCUUUUCAUAAGGGAGCAAAGUAUAUAUUUUUAAAUGACAGGAGGAGAAAGUGAAAAGUCGGAUUUUGAUAGGGGAGUUUUAUGUAAUUUAUCUUAUAUAAAACGUAGUAUUCUCUUUCUCUUUCUUUAACUUCUUAUAAUUAAAUUAUUGAUUAUAUAAUUUUUUGCAUUAUUAUUGAUCUUAAACCACCAGUUAUUUUUUUCCUUAAACUAUCUGUUGUUUUUUUACUUACAAUUUUUUAUAAUUUAUAAUUACUAAUUCGAUUUAAUAUUUUAUCAUAUAAUUUUAAAUCA